ensembl:piRNA 21ur-5425 ncRNA
UGCUUUGGUGGAACUUAAAAC